GUGUCAGCCGCCGCGGUAAGACGAACUGUCCUAACGUUGUUCGGAAUCACUGGGCUUAAAGGGCGCGUAGGCGGUCCACCAAGUCAGGGGUGAAAUCCUGCAGCUUAACUGCAGAAGUGCCUUUGAUACUGGUGGUCUGGAGGGAGAUAGGGGUGUGUGGAACUCACAGUGGAGCGGUGAAAUGCGUUGAUAUUGUGAGGAACGCCGGAGGCGAAAGCGACGCACUGGAUCUCUUCUGACGCUGAGGCGCGAAAGCUAGGGGAGCAAACGGGAUUAGAUACCCCGGUAGUCCUAGCCCUAAACGAUGAGUACUAGAUUGUAGACUAUCAUGGGUUUACAGUCGAAGCAAAAGUGUUAAGUACUCCGCCUGGGGAGUAUGGUCGCAAGGCUGAA
rnacentral:rRNA from 1 species